rnacentral:rRNA from 1 species
AGGGAUCAUUACUGAGUUUACGCUCUAUAACCCUUUGUGAACAUACCUAUAACUGUUGCUUCGGCGGGUAGGGUCUCCGCGACCCUCCCGGCCUCCCGCCUCCGGGCGGGUCGGCGCCCGCCGGAGGAUAACCAAACUCUGAUUUAACGACGUUUCUUCUGAGUGGUACAAGCAAAUAAUCAAAACUUUUAACAACGGAUCUCUUGGUUCUGGCAUCGAUGAAGAACGCAGCGAAAUGCGAUAAGUAAUGUGAAUUGCAGAAUUCAGUGAAUCAUCGAAUCUUUGAACGCACAUUGCGCCCGCCAGCAUUCUGGCGGGCAUGCCUGUUCGAGCGUCAUUUCAACCCUCAAGCUCUGCUUGGUGUUGGGGCCCUACAGCUGAUGUAGGCCCUCAAAGGUAGUGGCGGACCCUCCCGGAGCCUCCUUUGCGUAGUAACUUUACGUCUCGCACUGGGAUCCGGAGGGACUCUUGCCGUAAAACCCCCCAAUUUUCCAAAGGUUGACCUCGGAUCAGGUAGGAAUACCCGCUGAACUUAAGC